rnacentral:rRNA from 1 species
AUUGAACGCUGGCGGCAGGCCUAACACAUGCAAGUCGAGCGGUGGCACAGGAGAGCUUGCUCUCCGGGUGACGAGCGGCGGACGGGUGAGUAAUGUCUGGGAAACUGCCUGAUGGAGGGGGAUAACUACUGGAAACGGUAGCUAAUACCGCAUAACGUCGCAAGACCAAAGAGGGGGACCUUCGGGCCUCUUGCCAUCAGAUGUGCCCAGAUGGGAUUAGCUAGUAGGUGGGGUAACGGCUCACCUAGGCGACGAUCCCUAGCUGGUCUGAGAGGAUGACCAGCCACACUGGAACUGAGACACGGUCCAGACUCCUACGGGAGGCAGCAGUGGGGAAUAUUGCACAAUGGGCGCAAGCCUGAUGCAGCCAUGCCGCGUGUAUGAAGAAGGCCUUCGGGUUGUAAAGUACUUUCAGCGGGGAGGAAGGUGCUGAGGUUAAUAACCUCAGCAAUUGACGUUACCCGCAGAAGAAGCACCGGCUAACUCCGUGCCAGCAGCCGCAGUAAUAC